AAAAAUUAAAUUGUUUAGAUGUAUAACCCAUUUACAAUUAAAAAAUACUAAACAUAAACUGCAGUUUUGAUCUUUUCUCUUUUGAAAGUUUGAUUGUUUUUAUUUUUUAUUAAAAUAUUCAAAAAAGAAUUAUGACGGAUAAAAAAGAGAACAUGUGUAUCAUUUUUGGGAUUAGUUACCUGUCAAAUGCGAAACGGAAUGAAACGAAACGGAACGGAACGAAAUAAAACUAAACAAAACCAAACGAAAUUUGCCAUAACGAAACAAAACACGAAAUAUAUGAAACGAAAUGUAUCAACUUUUUAAUAAAAAAAAAUGUAGAUAAAAAAAUAACAAACCAAGAGGCAUUAGGGGAAA
rnacentral:lncRNA from 1 species